UUUGUUUCCGCUGCGUUCUUUCAUUUGGGCUUUUCGUGUUUGUUGACAAGCCCAUGUUCUGUGUGUUGUAGGCUUCGACUCUUCGAGAUCGCUGUAGCUCCUACUUGGGUAAACAAAUCGUCACCUCCGUUAAACAUCUCCAGCAUCACCCAUCUUCCUCCAUUAUUGCACUCUACGAUUGAAGAGCUUAAAGUAUUCAACUCUCUUCAACUUAUCCUCUCUCCCAAACUAGCUAUAUAAACCAACCAUCAUCGACCAUGAGAUUUAUGCUUCACAUUGGUUCGAUUGGAUAUCCAUCUCCCAAUUUUUUAAUCUCUUUCAGCUAACUUACAGUGCUUACUAUCUAUGGCCUCAGUUUGUCACCUCACAAACAUAUGGUCUCCGCCAAAAUUGAAGAAUUCUGAACGUUCUAGAUUCCUCGAGUUCAACAUUCUCUGAAAGCAUAAGUUAAGAUCUCCUUCAUCUCGGCGGUCUUGCCUUCUAUCUAUGCCGAUGAAACGGAGAACUCUUCGACGAUGUGUUGUUUCAAGCUCCCCGACGCCUAUGGCGGUCGAUGUCCACACAAAGGUGUCAAGGCUACAAAUGUAGUUUCCAGUGGAGCUUCCAUUGGUAUCUACAGUCUGUUGAGCUCAUGGAUGGUGGAUCAGACUACCUUGGAAAGGGUGUCUCUAAGGCUGUUGGCGAUGAACAAAAUAAACACUGGUGAUAGUUAAGAAACUGGUUGAAGACAGUAGGAGAGAUAUAGAAAAAGCUGUUGAGAAUGAAGAGAAGCUCCGUCAUUUGAAGACAAGAGUGUGAGUCACUAUGAAAUUUCGUCAAUACUUCUACCAAUGUUGUAGAAACACUUCUUUCAUCUGAGCGGCAAUUCCAAACUAUCGAAGCACGGCUGGUUGCUACGUCUAGACAGCUGGAAGGUGAGAAAGUGCAGAAAAAGGUAGAAGUUCAAAAGCUGAUGGAGGAGAACGUGAACAAUGCAAAGUCAUGGCUUUGAAUGCUUCAAACAUCUGAUUAUGCAUCUUUCAUCUCCUGCAAUGGCCUAUGUGAUUCGUAUGUUUUCAGAUUUGAUAUUCUGGUAACUCUGUACAAUUAUGGCUUCCGAUAAGCAAGUAAAGUUGAUCUGUUGGCUGCUCAUUUGCUAAAAGUGUUUACUUCUUUGUUGGUAUAGUUUCUGCACAUGCAUCAAUUGCGAGGUUCUGUUACAAGCAUGGCACUCUGGAUCUCAUUGUCUACAGUCUACGAUCAACGUAAAUUAACGUGUAAAGUUGACCUAGAUCCACUGAUACAUAAAGUCUCAAUACAGAGUAUCGACUAUUUAAUUUAAUGUUUUUAAAAGGCUAUUUAAUUUAAUUUAAUGUUAAUUUAAAUUGAAAAUUUAAAAUAAACUACAUAUUUUAAAAGUGGAUUGUAUCAGUUUUGGAUUCUAGGUCAAUGUAUAAAUUUGUCGGUUUUGAACUCAGUUAGCUGAAGCCAUUCAUUACAUA